CUGCCCUCAAGCCCGGCUUGUGUGUUGGGUCUCGUCCCCCUCCCGGGGGGACGGGCCCGAAAGGCAGCGGCGGCACCGUGUCCGGUCCUCGAGCGUAUGGGGCUUUGUCACCCGCUCUGUAGGCCCGGCCGGCGCUUUAGCCGACAACCCAAUCUAUUUUUCA
rnacentral:misc_RNA from 1 species